CUUUUUCCUUUGCAAGGCUAAUAAAUACAAUAUUUUAGGUAUGCUAUCCAGACCACAGUCCCAUAAUAUGCUGAAAGGAAGCAAAGAAGCAUAAAAGAAUAUGCAGAAGGCGGCUAAAAAUGAGAGAUAAAUUCCAAUAGUGAGGACACAAGGCAAUGAAGCCCUUUGAGGACUGGACUACUUCAUCAUGGAUACUUGUUCCUCCACCACGUGUUUCCAGCAGUUUAUGGAUGACAUAUAAGCAGUGCUCAGGAAUCCCUGCCAAGCUCUGUACACCUGGCAAGUAUGAAAAGAGCACAGAAGGUAUCUUUGGUGAGUAAUGUAGCAUGUCAAAAGCCUACUAAAACUCUGGUUGGUCAAAGACACAUAAGAUAUUUGGAUAAAAGGAGGCAGAGCCCUGAACAGGCAUAUGGAUGAGAGGAGCCAGGUACUUUUCCAGCAGCUUUAUCCUGCAAAGAAAGGGUGAUAUGAUAGAGGUGCUCAUCUGCUGAACCUGUGCAGGGACUGUAGGAGUCUGACAGUUCCCAGCCUCUGAAAAAAUUCUCAGCCCUAUGCCUUAGACACAUAAU
rnacentral:lncRNA from 1 species